rnacentral:rRNA from 1 species
UACGAAGGGGGCGAGCGUUGUUCGGAUUUACUGGGCGUAAAGGGCGCGCAGGCGGCUCUGCAAGUCAGAUGUGAAAGCCCCGGGCUUAACCUGGGAACUGCAUUUGGGACUGUGGGGCUAGAGAUCGGGAGAGGAGAGUGGAAUUCCCAGUGUAGAGGUGAAAUUCGUAGAUAUUCGCAAGAACACCAGUGGCGAAGGCGGCUCACUGGCCCGGUACUGACGCUGAGGUGCGAAAGCGUGGGGAGCAAACAGG